rnacentral:lncRNA from 1 species
AUGCAAAUGCAGAGGAAGCCUUUAACAAAGGGAGCCGGGAGCCCCCGCGUGCCCUUGUUUCUCUCCCGGCAGGCUUGUCCGAAUGCAGAUGUGCGGCACAGCUGGGGCGUCUGCUGUUGGGGGGGCUUCGCGGGGCCCCUUUCCCCUGCCCGUAUUUCAACGCGCAGGGACCACCUGGGGCACGUCGGCUCUGCGCGAGGGGGAGCGUCCCCCCGACAGCGCCGGGCGACUGUGCGCCAGCCUGCGGCAGCUGCUGUGGGCGGCGCUGGCGUUAAAUUCUGCAAAUUCAAAGGAGGCAACUUCCAGAGGUGUUUUUGGGGUGCUGUGUCGCUGUGCCUUGGGGGGUGCUCGGGUGCCGGUGCUUGUUCUGAGCGGGGUCAYGAUCCUGCCUUCAGCAGGCGCCUCUUGGCUGAGGGGCACCCCCGGUUUUCGUGUUUGACAGAAGCCGGGCAGGAAGAGGGUCCCUGCGGCGGGUGCCUCUGCUGCCGUGGGGCGGCCCCCUCCGCUCCCCUCCUUCCCCCUCUGCUCCGUGCUGCACCGUGCUGCAUGGGGGCUGCUGCCCGCCUCCCUGCAGCAGGCAGCGGAUCGCCCGCUCGCCCUCCUGCCUGCCGCCGGCGUGCCCUGCGCCCGGGGCACGGCGCCAAGCCUGCCGGGCUGCCCUGCGGCCUCGCCGCCUGCACGCGCCGCGCUCCGCUGCUUUGUUUAAGGCUGCUUGUUUUAGCGUCGCGAGGGAGGCGACGUCGGUCCGCACGGCACAGUUUGUUGAGGGCUGGCACCGGGCCGGGAGUCCAGGUUCGGAUCCUGCAAGAAGCACGAUUCCCGGCAGCAAACUCGGUCUUUGCGUGUAGCAGGUUUCACGGAUGUUUCUUUCUCCCUUUGCUGUUGAUUCCUCCCAAAGGGCAGCUCGUGAUCACCGUAUCAUUACCGCCGCUCCUCUUCUGUGCUGAUCCUUGUUUCACCCCUCCUCUUCUGUUUUAUCGCUUCCUUUCUUACGGCUCCCUGCACGGUCGCAGGGUCCUGGGGGCUGCCCGGGGGCCCCCCUGCUUCUGCCGCCUCUUCUGCACCCGAAGUCAGACCUGUCAUCGCUGCGCAAACAGGAGCGGGACUGAACAGCAGCAUCACGAAGAGAAAGUGUUUCUAGGAGCUAAAAUCAGCCCCGUCUCCCCAGACCGCCUUGCAGUUUCCCGGGGGUAG